rnacentral:lncRNA from 1 species
CAGACACUUAUCUGAAGUGUUUCCAGGUCACACCGAGUCCUUGCGCUUUUAUCUCGACCCAUAGUAGAGUUAAAGGUGGCCAACAACCAACGAGUUGUUGGAACAACAAAAAACAAGAGAGAUGGAUUGAUUUAUAACUAACAAGGGCAACAAUCAAGGGGGUUGCCAACUCUGAUAAAGUUUAAAAAUACUCUUAACAUAAAAUUAUAUUGAGGAAAAACAAGUAUUGGGAACAUACAGUACAAUCAUCACAAAUAUUGGCAAUUCGAGUAUGCAGUGAAUUAAAGGAAACGAGGCUCAGAUCUGUUGCUCAAUCGUUCAAAUUGGCAAAGAAACAUUCCACCCCGUCAUGGUUGCAGAAUCACCGGUUGCAUGCGAUUGGGGAAAUAUAAAUUACCCCAAAAUCGCAGCCAUCCGGGUUCGCCACAUCAAGAUACGGGAGGGUUUCUAAAUGCCCAAAUUAUAAGCUCCACAAAUUAUCAACAAUCAUCACAGCAGCUCCAUCAGAAUAUAUAGACACACACAACCACGCACAUGGGCACACACAUAGAAAGAGAUGGGCACACACAGAAAGAGAGCUUAUCAGAAAAAAUCAUGCUAAUGUCACCUGAACAGCUCCACUAGAAUAUAUAGACACACACAUUCACGCACAUGGGAACACACACAGAAAGAGAGCUUAUCAUAGAAAAAAAAAAUCCAGCUAACGUCACCUGAAAAACUAAUGCCCGAACAUAACUUUUUUGCUCUCCAGCUAAUGUCACACGAAGAUGCCCAAAAAGACAUUGUUUUCCAAGAACAUGCAUUGGGUACAUGGGUACACGGUCAAUCUUGUGCAGUGACUUCCUUGUACUUCUCCAAUUUUUCCUUUGAACAGCAUAUUCAUUACAAAACUGUCAUGACAAAAUAGUAUUGUCAGCACCUCAUCUUUCAGAAAAUAAUUUAAGAGUAAAAUUAAAAAAAUACAAAGAGUAAGGGUAGUACCAUUCAAGAAUCAUCGAGUAAUUAUAAAACCUGAUAUAAAUCCCUCCGGCGAACUCGAAGCAUCAAAUCCCUAGAUCCCUUUAAUUCUUGAUAUGGAAUUGUCUCAAUGGUCUUGAUGAUAGUGUCAUCUACUUAAAACAUUAAAGAAAAACCUCUCAGUAGUGCGGUAAACAGAGAUUAAAGACACAUAUAAGAGAGAUCACAGACCUUCCAGCAUUGUGAAUGAUCCUGCAUGUGAGAUUCUACCUGAAGACAAUUGUUCGCACUCACCAAGGCAUCUACAAUAUUAUAUUGGUAAAAUAUUUAUACACACUUCCACAAGAUUGUAAAUGCCAGUGUUAUAAGAUGAAAAAACGAAAUAAUAGGGGCAAACAGGGAUACAAUUGUACUUUUUGUUUUUUCCUCUCCAGUGUCGCAUGUCUAGUGCUUUGAUCCCAUAAGUCUGCAACUGAAAAUUCUAAAAAGCCUAAGGAAUUACUCCAACCUGCAAAAGCAUUUUAAAUUUAGCAUUUGAAUGUGCAACUACAUAACCAUCGAAAUUUUUAAAUUUACAAUUAGAUUUUCACGAGAUAGUAAGUGUGCAUGUUAUAAGAUGAAAAAAAUAAAGUAAUAGGGUCAAACUGGAAGAGCGUUAUUUUUUUGGCCUUCUCCUUCCCAGUUUCGCAUGUACUUGUGUUUUAAUCCCAUAAGUCUUCGACUGAAAAUCCUUAUAAGCCUCUGACGUUUCUCCAGCCUGCAAACGUAUUUAAGGUUUAGCAUUUAUACGUGCAACAACAUAGACACAAGAAUUUAAAAAUUUACAGACAAUUGAUUCAAUAGACAGAUUCAGCCUUUUGGAGUAUAAACUUGCACAAUCGAGUCUUGGGAAGAUGUCGGAAGCAAGUGAAUGACGUGGUCAUCAGAAAUAGACAACUUGUGCUAACUAUGAACAUCCUGAAAGUUUAGUCAAAAGUUGCGGAUGUAAAAGUAUAUUUGGGAAACGAAAACUCAGACAACGGCUCCUACCUUGAAAAACUUGAUGCUGCAAGAAAUGAGAAAAGUUAAUUUAGAAACUCAGCAUUGAUUGUAGAUUUUGAAAAAUAUCAUAUGAUAAUGAGAAGGAAUAAAGGAGACAGAACUACAGCAAACUUUCUUGAGACGUAAUUAACCCUUGAUGCUAAUGGAUGUUCUGAUUCUAACUUAGAGGCAGUAAACGAGGUUUGCUGCCGAAGAAUUUUGUUCUCAGAUUCCAUGUCGAAUUUUUUUCUUCUACACUGCUUGCUUCAAACUCCCCUGGCUAAGUGUAAUUUCGUUUCCAGAGAGCUCACUAAGGUCUGCAAUGACGCAUAAAAGGAUGCAACAAUAAACAAGUACAUAAUGAAAAUUAUUUUUCCACGCAAUUAACAGUUUUAACGUUUUAACGGAUUUUUGCUCACCUGCAUUAAGUGAUUUUUGCUCAGCUGUUAUUUUUGCAAUUCUAUUUCCUUCAACGUCGUGCCUUUGUUUUCCCUGACCUGAAGCUGAAGCUCCUCUUCCAAAUAAAUAAAUAGACAAUUCAUGAAUAAUUAACAAUAUAAUAGAAAAUUUAGUCGCAUAGAAAACCAAAGAGAAGAGAGUGAUCAUACAAACAAGAAAGAUAAGAAGAGUUUUUCACAAGAAAGUCAAUAAUUAAUCACAUCUAUACAGAUUUCCACAACACAGGAUCAUACUGGAAGACCAUUGUUUUUAAUGCUUUUACCUCUUCAGUGUCGCAUGAACUUGUCCCAUAAGUCUUCAACUGAAAAUUCACAAAAGCCUCGGAAAUUAAUCCAACCUGCAAAAGCAUAUACAUGUUUAGCAUUUAUAUGCUCAACCACAUAACCUUUGGAAUAUAAAGAUCUACCAAACAAUUGACUAAAGAGAUAAAAAAUCAACGUUUCUCGCGUAAACUCAAACAAUGACGUCUUAGUAAGAUGUUGGAAGCAAGUGGAUGAUGCGAUCAUCAGAAACAAAGAAGAACUUCUGCUCUCUGCAAAAAUCCUUGAAGAAUCUAACAAGGCUGCCAGACACUUAUCUGAAGUGUUUCCAGAUCACACCGAGUCCUUGCGCUUUUUUAUCUCAACCCAUAGUAGUAGAGGUAUAGGUGGCCAACAACCAACGAGUUCCUGGAACAACAAAAAACAAGAGAGAUGGAUUGAUUUGUAAAAAGAACUUGUGAUUUAUAAAUAACAAUGGCAAGAAUCAAGAGGGUUGCCAACUCUGAUAAAGUUUAAAAAUACUCUUAAAAUAUAAAGGAAAAACAAGUAUUGGGAACAUACAGUACAAUCAUCACAAGUAUUGGGAAUUCGAGUAUGCAGUGAAUUAAAGGAAACGAGGCUCAGAUCUGUUGCUCAAUCGUUCAAGUUGGCAAAGAAACAUUCCACCCCGUCAUGGUUGCAGAAUCACCGGUUGCUUGCGAUUGGGGAAAUAUAAAUUACCCCAAAAUCGCAGCCAUCCGGGUUCGCCACAUCAAGAUACGGGAGGGUUUCUAAAUGCCCAAAUUAUCAGCUCCACAAAUUAUCAACAAUCAUCACAGCAGCUCCAUCAGAAUAUAUAGAAACACACAAUCACGCACAUGGGCACACACAUAGAAAGAGAUGGGCACACACACAGAAAGAGAGCUUAUCAGAAAGAAUCCAGCUAAUGUCACCUGAACAGCUUCACUAGAAUAUAUAGACACACACAUUCACGCACAUGGGCACACACACAGAAAGAGAGCUUAUCAGAAGAAAAAAAUCCAGCUAACGUCACCUGAUAAAC